rnacentral:rRNA from 1 species
AAAGGAGUAAUUCGGUAUAGGAUGGGCCCGCAUCUGAUUAGCUAGUUGGUGAGAUAACAGCCCACCAAGGCGACGAUCAGUAGCCGACCUGAGAGGGUGAUCGGCCACAUUGGGACUGAGACACGGCCCAAACUCCUACGGGAGGCAGCAGUGGGGAAUAUUGCACAAUGGGGGAAACCCUGAUGCAGCAACGCCGCGUGAAGGAAGAAGGUUUUCGGAUCGUAAACUUCUAUCAACAGGGACGAAGAAAGUGACGGUACCUGAAGAAGAAGCCCCGGCUAACUACGUGCCAGCAGCCGCGGUAAUACGUAGGGGGCAAGCGUUAUCCGGAAUUACUGGGUGUAAAGGGAGCGUAGGCGGCACGCCAAGCCAGAUGUGAAAGCCCGAGGCUUAACCUGCGGAUUGCAUUUGGAACUGGCGAGCUAGAGUACAGGAGAGGAAAGCGGAAUUCCUAGUGUAGCGGUGAAAUGCGUAGAUAUUAGGAAGAACACCAGUGGCGAAGGCGGCUUUCUGGACUGAAACUGACGCUGAGGCUCGAAAGCGUGGGGAGCAAACAGGAUUAGAUACCCUGGUAGUCCACGCCGUAAAC